rnacentral:lncRNA from 1 species
UUAGCACACAUGCACAGCCCAGUUUUGACUACUCAGCUAAGGGGGAGCUUGCUCCACCUCUCAUUGCAAAAUCACUUUAGACUUACAGAAGCGUUGCCACGGUAGUCAGAGUGUUCUUUGAUGCCUUCCUGCAAGCUCCCCGAAGGCUGACUGUGACAUACAUGGUCUGCAGGUUCGGACCAGGCCACGCUGUCCGUGACUGCCCCCCAGACCCAUCCACAGGUGCUUCGGCCCCCCCGAUGUGGAUGUUUGGUCUCCUUGGUCUCUUCCCCUCCUGUGUCAUUUGUUGGUCUUGUUUUUUGAGACAGGGUCUUGCUGUGUUGUCCAGGUUGGUCUUGAACUCCUUGGCUCAUGCAGUCCUCCUGCCUCAGCCUCCCGAGUAGCUGGGAUUACAGGUGGGCUUCACUGUUCCUCAGUGUUUGUCUUUGGUGACUGUGACACUGUACAGGCCAGUGACGUUCAGGAAUGUCAUCUCUGGAGCUGUGACAUGUCCUCAGGAUCAGGUUGAACAGUGCAUUUGGCAGGAUCGGUGCAGCAGUGCUGUGGUGUGCCUUGAGGUUUACAGUGUCGCUGCACCUGUCGCUGGCGGCGGACUCUGCUGAGGACUUUGGCCCUGGGCUGGCAUGCAUCUCUUCUGGGUGCUCCAUGUUCCCUGUGCUGGCGCCCGUCUCUUCUGGGUGCCCCGCGUUCCCGUCUGCCUCUGGGCUGCUGUGAAGUCAGGUAGACUGAUGCCCACAGAAGUGUUCUCUAGGCUCUGAAAGCUCUGAGGUUAGAAGAUGAAAGUGAGAUUCCCGACAGUGUGCAGGACGCAACGACGUUUGCGGAGAAUGCUUCACACCUCUCCUGCUGCUUGUCCCCCGUGUCUCCAGUCGUCUCUCAACACGCUUAUUCAGGAACUAACGCGUGAGCAACCGAGACCUGAACGGCUGCCUUCUGCACACACGGCAAGUGGUCAUGGAAGUCGAGUUUUCAGAGAACAGAAUGUCUUCAGAGAUGUGGGGUGCCUCUCUUGACCAGCUACCCUCCCAGGGGACCAUGAGGAAGCUCAGAGGAGAGACCCCCGCCUGCGCCUGUCUCACGGAGCCCACAGGGUCAUGGAGGGCAAUGGAGGGUCGUUCGCUCUGCUGGGGUUGCCUUUUGCACUAAAGACAGAGACCACCUUUUUGAGUGACUUGAGCCCAAAGGCAAGCGUGUAUCAAACGAUCUUCUCCACAUAACCUCUCUGUGCCAUCAUAAGAAUAGCUGCUUCCGCCCCUGGAUUUGCUCAGGCCUGGGAAUCCGCUGACUGAAGGCCUCUUGUUGAGUGCCAGCUCUAAACAAGUCCCUUUAUGCAGAGCCACA